GGAUUAGAUACCCUGGUAGUCCACGCCGUAAACGAUGAGUGCUAAGUGUUAGGGGGUUUCCGCCCCUUAGUGCUGCAGCUAACGCAUUAAGCACUCCGCCUGGGGAGUACGGCCGCAAGGCUGAAACUCAAAGGAAUUGACGGGGGCCCGCACAAGCGGUGGAGCAUGCGGAUUAAUUCGAUGCAACGCGAAGAACCUUACCAAGGCUUGACAUGAACCGGAACGGCGCAGAGAUGUGUCGGCCACUUGUGGCCGGUUUACAGGUGGUGCAUGGUUGUCGUCAGCUCGUGUCGUGAGAUGUUGGGUUAAGUCCCGCAACGAGCGCAACCCUUGAUCUUAGUUGCCAGCAUUCAGUUGGGCACUCUAAGGUGACUGCCGGUG
rnacentral:rRNA from 1 species